GUAGGUGGCAAGCGUUGUCCGGAAUUAUUGGGCGUAAAGCGCGCGCAGGUGGGUUCUUUAAGUCUGAUGUGAAAGCCCCCGGGCUCAACCGGGGAGGGUCAUUGGAAACUGGGGAACUUGAGUGCAGGAGAGGAAAGUGGAAUUCCACGUGUAGCGGUGAAAUGCGUAGAUAUGUGGAGGAACACCAGUGGCGAAGGCGACUUUCUGGCCUGUAACUGACACUGAGGCGCGAAAGCGUGGGGAGCAAACAGGAUUAGAUACCCUGGUAGUCCACGCCGUAAACGAUGAGUGUUAAGUGUUGGGGGGUUUCCGCCCCUCAGUGCUGCAGCUAACGCAUUAAGCACUCCGCCUGGGGAGUACGGUCGCAAAGACUG
rnacentral:rRNA from 1 species